CGCGUAGGCGGUCUCUUAAGUCAGAUGUGAAAGCCCGGGGCUUAACCCCGGAAGUGCAUUUGAUACUGUCAGGCUUGAGUAUGGGAGAGGGAAGUGGAAUUCCUGGUGUAGAGGUGAAAUUCGUAGAUAUCAGGAGGAACACCGGUGGCGAAGGCGACUUCCUGGACCAAUACUGACGCUGAGGCGCGAAGGCGUGGGGAGCAUACAGGAUUAGAUACCCUGGUAGUCC
rnacentral:rRNA from 1 species